rnacentral:lncRNA from 15 species
UAUUCUCAAUAAAAUGAAGACACAGGAGAUAAACCGUACUGUAAAUGAAAAAUCCAUUUAUUAUUGCAUUGCCUGGCCUUGGAAAUAUGCAAAUUCAUUAUCAUUUAUAGACUCUAUACAACGGUUCCAAGCAUGUUUUAAUCAUUUUUUUAUAUUUAGAGAAGACAUUUCGACGCUAUGCACGCGUUUCGCAGUUUGCCUCCGUCGGGAUUCGAACCGGCGAGCGGGAGUGCCGUUCCGCACGUCGACCGCGCGUCUUUUGCGCUCUAGUGCGCAUGCGGGUGCCGACCAAAACAGAGAAGAACGCUGGGGGAGCGCCUCUGCUCUGGGACAGCCUUCGUCUCUGUACCUGUGUUCCACAUAAAUGUCCCCACCUACCGAUUUCAGAGGCUAUCAUUGGCUCAUGCUCAAAUGGAACAGGCCAAUGGGUGAAGGCCAGGUCAACCCCAUUGGUCUGUUCCAUUUGGGUGCUGUGCUGUGAUUCGACAGCUCGCCGCAUGUCCCGCCCACCCCCAAAGCCACAGCCACGGUCAGUGUCAUUCAUUCAUUCGGACUGAGCGGCGUUUGAGUGAGCGGACGGACGGACAUUCACACAAUAUUAUAAGAAAAUGCAGCCUAUUUUCCGCUUUGAGGCAAACCUUGACCUGACCCUGCGGGCCUCUCAGGAGGCGCUGGCCUUGAGCCGCCGCCAGAGGGGGGCCUCUGCCUCUGCCACUGCCCUGGUGGUGGUUAAGACCCCUGAGCUGGUGCGCUCUGAGGCAAGAGACAGGGUGGUGCAGAAGGGAGGUAACCCCACCGAUCACCAUCAGGUGCUGGCCGAGAGCGAGCUGCAGCUCGGCCAGUACCGUGGUCAGACGUUCCGGUGGCUGCUGGAGAAUGACGUGGGAUACGCAGUCACCAUCUGUGUGUCCCACGAGGGAGAGAGAGACAAAGGGGGCACUAGUCAGCAGAAUGCCCUCAUGGUGCACAAAGACGCCCUCGUCUCCUACGCCAGGCUGUUCCCGCCGAUGGUGGCAGCCAUCGACAGGCGUAGGAUGCUCGAGGGCAGUCCCCAGACCAUGAGGGGCGUGGACGACACGCUGGUGGGGUUCGGUGUUCAUAGUGACCUGACCUACAAGACCCUGUACGAGUCGACGGACCGUGAGCGGGCAAGCUAUGUACAGUUUGUGAGGCAGGCGGCACCCACAGCCAAAGCGUCCAGGUUGGUGGACUUAAAAAAAUAUGUGCAGGCCCGGGAUGCAGAGAAGGCAGCCCUGGCAGCACAACCACCACAACCACCCCUGGACGCUGUUGGUCCCCAGGAUGGACCCUCGGAUGCUGACCUGCUCGCUGCCGCCAUGGAGGUCGACCCGUGCAGGGAUGCCCCAUCAGCCGUGCCCCCCUUCUCUCUCUCCCAGCCACCGGAACGUCCCCUUCAGGACAACACCUGUGGGGAGAGGUCAGGCCCCGGCGCACAGGUAUGCUCAGUGAUGACAUAUUGUGUUGUAGUGUGUGUGUGUCUGUGUUCAGUACACUAA